CCCUACGGGGUGCAGCAGGCGCGAAAACUUUACAAUGCGGGAAACCGUGAUAAGGGGACACCGAGUGCUAGCAUCAUAUGCUGGCUGUCCAGGUGUGUAAAAUACACCUGUUAGCAAGGGCCGGGCAAGACCGGUGCCAGCCGCCGCGGUAACACCGGCGGCCCGAGUGGUGAUCGUGAUUAUUGGGUCUAAAGGGUCCGUAGCCGGUUUGGUCAGUCCUCCGGGAAAUCUGAUAGCUCAACUAUUAGGCUUUCGGGGGAUACUGCCAGGCUUGGAACCGGGAGAGGUAAGAGGUACUACAGGGGUAGGAGUGAAAUCUUGUAAUCCCUGUGGGACCACCUGUGGCGAAGGCGUCUUACCAGAACGGGUUCGACGGUGAGGGACCAAAGCUGGGGGCACGAACCGGAUUAGAUACCCGGGUAGUCCCAGCCGUAAACGAUGCUCGCUAGGUGUCAGGCAUGGCGCGACCGUGUCUGGUGCC
rnacentral:rRNA from 1 species